UACGUAGGGUGCGAGCGUUGUCCGGAAUUACUGGGCGUAAAGAGCUCGUAGGUGGUUUGUCGCGUUGUUCGUGAAGACUCACAGCUCAACUGUGGGCGUGCGGGCGAUACGGGCAGACUGGAGUACUGGCAGGGGAGACUGGAAUUCCUGGUGUAGCGGUGGAAUGCGCCAGAUAUCAGGGAGGAACACCAGUGGCGGAA
rnacentral:rRNA from 1 species